GAUGAACGCUGGCGGCGUGCCUAAUACAUGCAAGUCGAGCGAACGGACGAGAAGCUUGCUUCUCUGAUGUUAGCGGCGGACGGGUGAGUAACACGUGGAUAACCUACCUAUAAGACUGGGAUAACUUCGGGAAACCGGAGCUAAUACCGGAUAAUAUUUUGAACCGCAUGGUUCAAAAGUGAAAGACGGUCUUGCUGUCACUUAUAGAUGGAUCCGCGCUGCAUUAGCUAGUUGGUAAGGUAACGGCUUACCAAGGCAACGAUGCAUAGCCGACCUGAGAGGGUGAUCGGCCACACUGGAACUGAGACACGGUCCAGACUCCUACGGGAGGCAGCAGUAGGGAAUCUUCCGCAAUGGGCGAAAGCCUGACGGAGCAACGCCGCGUGAGUGAUGAAGGUCUUCGGAUCGUAAAACUCUGUUAUUAGGGAAGAACAUAUGUGUAAGUAACUGUGCACAUCUUGACGGUACCUAAGCAGAGAGCCACGGCUAACUACGUG
rnacentral:rRNA from 1 species